GACCCAGCAAAAACCCAAAUUGCAAAUUUGGAGAUGAAUUCGUUCCUGGGUCU
rnacentral:tRNA from 1 species